rnacentral:lncRNA from 1 species
AUUCUAUUUUUUUCUAGGUAACUACUCUUAUGGAGAAUAUCCUGUUCACUUCGCAGAUGAUGUGUGUAUGGUUAUUGCGUUUCCGAGACGAGCAAGCUACAUUUUCAAAAGACCUCGCUGCGCAUUGUGGGUUGUCAAUACGACACUUGAAUCCCCGAACAAGUACAGACACUGCAUGUAUAUUUUGUUUGCGACCUGCAAAACUCCUAUAUAUAAUUUAUAUGAGUACGAAAAGGAGGAUUGC